rnacentral:sRNA from 3 species
UAAGCACUAAGGGGAGCCGAAGCUCCCCCCAAAGCGUUGCUGCUUGCUCUUUUUAUUAUUAGGGCUGGCCUGUUGUUGUUUUUGUCAGCCUGCCCGGGUGGUGCAAGGCCCCCAUUCGGGACCAAGAGCAAACGUAUUUUUUUGAGCGCUGACCGACCUUCAUCACGUACGAUCCGAGUUGGCUGCUGCUACCUGGAGGUAGUU